ACAAAUGCAAGUUUCAGGCUGUGGAGCCCUCCCUGCCCCCGUCAGGAAGCCCUCUUCUCCAUGGGCCAGGAUGUGCUGUGACAGCCGUGUCCCGGGAGGGCGAAGGCGUUGGGAAAGCGCACAGGCUCCAGCCCGGUCCCUCUAACAAGGGCAGCGCUGCCCCGAGCGGCGAUCAGCUGUCUUGGGGAGGCUGGCGGUGACAGAUUGCUUCUGAGAUGGCACAGGAGCAGGGAUGAUUAAAGAGAACAGACACCGAAAAUGACAGAGGAUGAUGGCUGCAAGGAGUUGUCCCCUGGGUGGGUCCUGGCCUGUCUCCAGUGGAUUCAAAAAGAAGUUUUGGCUCCACGAUGUCAACUUGGGCAAAUCAUGUUGUCUCUGAAAAAGAAGCUAGAGAUGGGGAUUGGCCCCAAAUCCCACUGAUGGCAGCUUAAGUGGUAAGAGGAAGGAUGGAGGUCCAGUGAAAUGUUUGCUCAAGAUUCCAGAUGUAGUAAAUACCUGAUAUGAAGCAGGAUUCUCUGGUUAUCUUAAAUGACCCCAGAGAUAUGCUAUUACUAACGAUGAAGCAUUCUCCUCACCUGCUGGAGCAGAGGUGAUGGAUUCAAGACCCAUCAAAGGAAGGAUUUGAAACUGGGUCCUCAGACUCUUGGGACACAGAGACCCUGAUGGGUACAUUGGAACACAUGACUGAUGACAGAGAAAAAGGAGAUGACCCUUUUGGCUGUUUACCUUUCAUCAACCCACAGCCAUGUAUAAUACCACCAGAGGACAUUCAGGAAUGUUUCCUGGGGAGGAAGACUCAAAGAAUAAUGAACUCCACUGCCUUCCCACAGCAUGUAAUUCUACUAUUUUUUUCUUUGGAAGUUGAUACAUGUACACUGGACUCUGAUUAUGAGGUGAUUUUUUUCCUCUCUCCUUACACUUCCCAGAGAUUUCCAAAUAAUCAUGAAUAUGGGAUUAGAAAAAAUGGUUUGCCCAUGUGGAGCAAUCUCUAAUUGGCUUUUUUCUCCUUCCCAUUGAAGGACUGUGAGGGCCCUUGAUUGAUUAGAUCAAUUUUCCAUCCAGACACAAAUGGAGGUAAAAUAGGAAGAGGCCUCGGAAGAGGGGGAAUUUGGCACCGAUCUCCCUAGAGCAAGGGGGCACACCCUUCCACUUGGCAUCCUUGGCCUUUCUAAUAUUUCCAGACCCAAUCUCGACUUCUCCGGCAGCCAAUGCCGCUUACCAGCAGCUCUCAUCCACAUGUGGUUGUAUUUAGCUCCAGAGAACUCUGAACUAAACCCAGGCAGGGGCCAGUGGGGGAGAUCAAAGGUAAUAAAGUCUCCCUAUUUCAUAAAUGGUGAACUUUUGUAAAGAAACAAAAUGUAUUUAAAGCCAAUGCCAAGGGGAGUGUUAUGUUUUGACUGAUGUGUAAAACAAAGAGGGAGAGCUGGAGGUUUUUCCCCUUGUGUUAUUUGUUUUUUUUUUUUAAGACUGUUUAUUAAAGUCCAGGCUUUAAAAUAAACACACCGAAUUCUCGUGUUCUUUGUAUAAACACUCUUGAAUCCUUUGAAGCUAAGGGUAAUGAGUGUGAUAACAGAGGACUGUUUAUCCUCUCCUGGGCUUGUUGUUUGGUUAGCUGGGGUCCCAAAGACUUUAAAACUCUUUCACUGCUCAGAGGGAUUUUUUUUUAAUUGACUGGCAAAGCAGAGGAAGAAGGAACAGACAUGAUGGGUAAGGAUUCUGUAGUCUAACCUUUUCUGGGUAAAGGCUUUUUUCCUAUGGGCCAUAUGCCCCGGACAUCUUGGGCGCUCUAAUCAGAGUCAAAACAUAAAUGACAUGACCUAGUCCCCACAGGGAAAGGCUCAAUUUCCUAGGGAAACCCUUGUUUCUCCCCCCAAUCCAUGCCCUCAACCAUAAACUGGUCUUUCCUGGGGUUGGAAGAGAUCAAACAACUAUAUGGCAAUAAAAGUUUAUAAACUUUGCUCACAGAAAUUUCACCCCGACCAUGGGUCACCUCCCAACCCCCUCCCCCGGUUUGCCCCCAACUCCUUCUCCCGAGAUCUCAGCUUCUGUUCUCUUGAUUCCUCAAACAUAAGCGACAAGUUUUUGAGUUAUUUUGGUCACUUCCUUUAGAUAGUUCCUUGAAUUGUUUUUGGGGGAGCAUUGUAUGAUUCACAUUUCCUCCUUACUCCAGUGCAGCUGGGGGGGAAAAAACCUUCCUUGCCGUCCAUUUUCCUUUGUUAACUGAUGCAUCCUGCAACCACUCAAUGCCUCACCUAAAUUGCAAGGACUGUGCCUCGCCUGGGACUCCUCCAGAUGUCAGAACAUCUGACCAAGUUCUUGGAUGAGAUGGAAAUCAGACUGGGACAGAAGGGAAUGCCCAAGGCACUGGCAGAGCUGAGCUCCAUUCAAGUUUCAUGCUUAGGGGAUGAAGUGCAGAAGGGGCAGACUCCUGUCAAGAAGCUGUGGGCAGACCUUCACGUCUCUGGGAGCUUUGCCCAAACGUGCAAACAUGGGCUCUGGCUUAAAAAAAGAUGGCGCUUUCAACACUGCUCUCCAAAGCGCUGGGCACAUAGAAAUGGAGUUCCUUCCAAUUAGCUUCACUAAAAUUGUCACAACCAGAGGCUCGGUGAGGUCUGGAGACAAGAAGAUCUGAGUUCCAAUCUCAGACCUUAGACCCAUCUUUUAGGGUUCAAAUGAGAUGAGAAGAAGGGAAUAUC